GUCCCCGUAGCUCAGUCCGGCUAGAGCAUUCGGCUGUUAACCGAAGGGUCGCUGGUUCGAGUCCAGCCGGGGACG
rnacentral:tRNA from 1 species